UGAGGAAUAUUGCGCAAUGGGGGCAACCCUGACGCAGCAACGCCGCGUGAGUGAGGAAGGUUUUCGGACCGUAAAGCUCUGUCGAGCGGGAAGAAAUGCAUGGUGGCUAAUAUCCAUCAUGCUUGACGGUACCGCUAGAGGAAGCACCGGCUAACUCCGUGCCAGCAGCCGCGGUAAUACGGGGGGUGCGAGCGUUGUUCGGAAUUAUUGGGCGUAAAGAGCGUGUAGGCGGCCGAAUAAGUCAGAUGUGAAAUCCCUGGGCUUAACCCAGGACGUGCAUUUGAAACUAUUCGGCUAGAGUAGGGGAGAGGAAAGUGGAAUUCCUGGUGUAGAGGUGAAAUUCGUAGAUAUCAAGAGGAACGCCGGUGGCGAAGGCGACUUUCUGGCCCUAUACUGACGCUGAGACGCGAGAGCGUGGGUAGCAAACAG
rnacentral:rRNA from 1 species